rnacentral:tRNA from 1 species
AGGGGCGUAGCUCCAACUGGUAGAGCAGCGGUCUCCAAAACCGCGCGUUGGGGGUUCGAAUCCCUCCGCCCCUGCCA